rnacentral:rRNA from 1 species
UACGUAGGGCGCAAGCGUUAUCCGGAUUUAUUGGGCGUAAGGAGCUUGUAGGCGGUUCGUCGCGUCUGGUGUGAAAGCCCAUCGCUUAACGGUGGGUCUGCGCCGGGUACGGGCGGGCUAGAGUGCAGUAGGGGAAACUGGAAUUCUCGGUGUAACGGUGGAAUGUGUAGAUAUCGGGAAGAACACCAAUGGCGAAGGCAGGUUUCUGGGCUGUUACUGACGCUGAGAAGCGAAAGCGUGGGGAGCGAACAGGAUUAGAUACCCUGGUAGUCAAGGGCGAAUUCGUU